GGAACAAGCGGUAGGGACAUUAUCGAGUUACCACUCUAUAACCCUUUGUGAACAUACCUACAUGUUGCUUCGGCGGUCGGCCCCCCGGGCCCCCGGCCCCGCUCACGCGGGGCGUCCGCCGGAGGAUAACCAAACUCUGAUUUAACGACGUUUCUUCUGAGUGGCACAAGCAAAUAAUCAAAACUUUUAACAACGGAUCUCUUGGUUCUGGCAUCGAUGAAGAACGCAGCGAAAUGCGAUAAGUAAUGUGAAUUGCAGAAUUCAGUGAAUCAUCGAAUCUUUGAACGCACAUUGCGCCCGCCAGCAUUCUGGCGGGCAUGCCUGUUCGAGCGUCAUUUCAACCCUCAAGCACUGCUUGGUGUUGGGGCUCUACGGUUGACGUAGGCCCCCAAAACUAGUGGCGGACCCUCUCGGAGCCUCCUUUGCGUAGUAACUUUUGUCUCGCACUGGGAUUCGGAGGGAUUCUAGCCGUUAAACCCCCAAUUUUCUAAAGGUUGACCUCGGAUCAGGUAGGAAUACCCGCUGAACUUAAGCAUAUCAAUAAGCGGAGGAAA
rnacentral:rRNA from 1 species